GUGGGGAAUAUUGGACAAUGGGCGCAAGCAUGAUCCAGCCAUGCCGCGUGGAUGAUGAAGGCCCUAGGGUUGUAAAGUCCUUUCGGCGGGGAAGAUAAUGACGGUACCCGCAGAAGAAGCCCCGGCUAACUUCGUGCCAGCAGCCGCGGUAAUACGAAGGGGGCUAGCGUUGCUCGGAAUCACUGGGCGUAAAGCGCACGUAGGCGGCUUUCUAAGUCGGUGGUGAGAUCCUGGAGCUCAACUCCAGAACUGCCUCCGAUACUGGAGAGCUCGAGUCCGGGAGAGGUGAGUGGAACUGCGAGUGUAGAGGUGAAAUUCGUAGAUAUUCGCAAGAACACCAGUGGCGAAGGCGGCUCACUGGCCCGGUACUGACGCUGAGGUGCGAAAGCGUGGGGAGCAAACA
rnacentral:rRNA from 1 species